ensembl:lncRNA novel transcript
CAUGGCUGCCCUCAGAUCCCUUGUGAAGCCCAAGAUCGUCAAAAAGAGAACCAAGAAAUUCAUCCGGCACCAGUCAGACCGAUAUGUCAAAAUCAAGAUGAGAAGAAUAAUGUCUGGGGUGAAGGUGAAGCACCCAGCCCAAGACUCAGCAGCCAGGAAGUGGCCCAGCGCUCUUUAUACCACGGGUGCAGGAAUUCACACAGAAAAGUGGAGGCCAAGGCGUGAGAAUUCCUCAAUGACUGCCCUCUAAAGGAAGAGGACCAGGCUUCCUGUCAGAGACUGAGGACCCAGGAAGAAACAUGUCUCGGCCCCUGUCCCCCUCCACAAUUCAGAGGCCACAUUCUAACAGGGGAGGCUGACCAAUUAAACAGAUAAUGACACCUCCUAGAGCUAAGAGCUCUCCGACUAUGAACCAGAUGCCUGGAGAACACGGAUGAAUGGUCUGAGCAUGAGCAGGGGUGGGAGGCAGCGUUAAGGGAGGCAUCAGAGUCAGAACCUAGCAAACAAGUGUUUGUGAAGAAGAAUUCAUAGAAAAGGGCAAUGCGGGCAUCACAUGGGCUAAGGAACAGAGGGGUAGCAGUAGCUGUUGUGCCAAGCUGCAGGUGUUAUACACUACCCUCUAGAUCUGGGUUUCCUUAAAACACCUUGAGAGGACAACCCUGCAAAGCACGGCACAGUGGCCGAGAGGGAAAGGAGCAUUCGAGGUCUCAGUCCUCGCUCUGAGCCUACUUCUCUGCUUCUGGGCUCCAGCCAUCUUUGUGGAAAGGGGGCUGCUAGUGACACCCUCUCAAGGGUCUUUCCAGCUCUAGGUCGGCUGUGCUGGAGUCUAGGAUUUGCCCACUGAGAAAUCUGUUUCCAAGUUCCUUCAACCUGAUGCAUCCUGCAGCAUCACGGCAGCUGUUCAGAGUGGUCAGAAGGCCCCUGAAUGAGCUCAGUAGAGGGAAGCCUGGGAACAGGGAGGCACCUGCAGCUCUACUCAUGGCCUGGCCAGAGCUCAGCAGCUCUUCUCUGCCAUCUAGUGGGGAUGGCAUACCAUCACUGGGGACCACCCUGUGCAAACUGGUGAGCCUGAGUGCCUGUCACAGAGGGAAAGAAAGGGGGGGGAUACAGGAUUUAGAUGAAAUAGCAACUCCUACCCUAUUGUCAAAAUCAUCCAGCUUUUUCAAAACAUCAUAUUGUACUGAUUUUUUUGUGUUUUUGACAGAGUCUUGCUGUGUCACCAAGGCUGGAAUGCAGUGGCAUGAUCUCGGCUCACUGUAGCCUCUGUCUCCCUGGUUCAAGCAAUUCUGCCCCAGCCUCCCAAGUAGCUGGGACUACAGGCAUGCGCCACCACACCCAGCUAAGUUUUGUAUUUUUUUAGUAGAGUCAGGGUUUUACUUUGGCCAGGCUGGUCUUAAACUCCUGGCCUCAACUGAUCUGCCUGUCUCGGCCUCCCAAAGAACUGGGAUUACAGGCAUGAGGCACCGUGCCUGUCCCAUGUUGUACUUAAUAGAUAUUUACCAUAUACAAUUAUUUUUUAAUUUAAAUAAAUCAAUGAACAGUGUUAUUUUUUAAA